GAAAGUUCAUUGCUCGACGGUUCAUGAAAACAACCAAGAUUUUCACUCUCUGCUCGAUUUCAAGAACAAUAUCACCAAUGAUCCAAAAGGAGUCAUGAACAGUUGGACCAACAACACCCACUUCUGCAGUGGAACAGUGUGAAGUGCACCUUGACGCCACCAUAUGGUGGCACGGAGCUCAACCUCUCCUACAACAACUUAGCUGGCCAAAUCUCCUAUCUUGGAAACCUGACCUAUCUUAAUUUGCUGGCUCUACCAAAUAAUAGAUUUGGUGGCCUAAUCAAAUAUGUACUAGGAUCAAGUCUCACACAUAUGAUGACUCAUGGUACAGAAACGAAUGUCAAAUCUUUAUUAUAUAAUAGAAGUUCUGUACAAAAUAGCUAAAUAAUUACAUUAUACGAAGACAACGAUCCUCCGCAACCAUAGUUGACUGGGAGACAAUGGCCUAGACCUCUCACGAACUCAUCGCGACAUCCUUCAUGGUCCUCAUCUUGGCGGUACGUGUACUUGACCUGGGGGUGUGAGUACAACAAGUGUGAGCUCACAUACGUUCAUCGCUCAACAAGUGUGAGCUCAACAAUUUACGGUGGGGGCUCAUGUGAAGUCUAAGGCUUACAAAAGAAGAUAGUUAAAGCUAAGCAUUGCUUUUGAUCAAAAAUUUUAUUAGCAGUUACUAAGUAUAAGUAGAUACCAACCCAGAUAAAUAAGAGAUCGAAAUUAAUAAUAAAACUCACAAUGCAAUGCAUAUGACAUAUUAAGUUUAAUUCCAUAAGUUAAUCAUGCGAGAGUCCUGAGUUGCUCUUGACCGCGAGCACGACUGAUU
rnacentral:lncRNA from 1 species